rnacentral:rRNA from 1 species
UGGGGAAUAUUGCACAAUGGGGGAAACCCUGAUGCAGCAACGCCGCGUGAGUGAUGACGGCCUUCGGGUUGUAAAGCUCUGUCUUCAGGGACGAUAAUGACGGUACCUGAGGAGGAAGCCACGGCUAACUACGUGCCAGCAGCCGCGGUAAUACGUAGGGAGCAAGCGUUGUUCGGAUUUACUGGGCGUAAAGGGCGCGUAGGCGGCGCGGUAAGUCACUUGUGAAAUCUCUGAGCUUAACUCAGAACGGCCAAGUGAUACUGCUGUGCUAGAGUGCGGAAGAGGCAACCGGAAUUCUUGGUGUAGCGGUGAAAUGCGUAGAUAUCAAGAGGAACACCGGAGGCGAAGGCGGGUUGCUGGGCCGACACUGACGCUGAUGCGCGAAAGCCAGGGGA